rnacentral:rRNA from 1 species
AACGCGAAGAACCUUACCCGGGCUCGAAAUGUAGAGAACGCUAGCAGAAAUGUUAGUUCCCGAAAGGGGCUCUAUAUAGGUGCUGCAUGGCUGUCGUCAGCUCGUGCCGUGAGGUGUUUGGUUAAGUCCAGCAACGAGCGCAACCCUUAUUGUCAGUUGCCAACGCGUAAAGGCGGGGACUCUGGCAAGACUGCCUAGGUUAACUAGGAGGAAGGUGAGGAUGACGUCAAGUCCGCAUGGCCUUUAUGUCCGGGGCUACACACGUGCUACAAUGGUCGGUACAGAAGGCAGCGAAACCGUGAGGUGGAGCUAAUCCGCAAAGCCGAUCUCAGUUCAGAUUGCAGACUGCAACUCGUCUGCAUGAAGUUGGAAUUGCUAGUAAUGACGUGUCAGCAACAGCGUCGUGAAUACGUUCCCGGGCCUUGUA